UGAAGCUGUUAUGUGCAGAGCAGAAUGGAUCACUGCUUCCCAACAUGGAAUAAGGAAAGUAGAGGAGAAAGCUAAAGAGCAUUUAUCCUUCUUCUUGUAUGAGAGAAAAGGCUUGGACUAAAUUGAAAGCUGAGUCGGCAAGCAAAGCCCAGGCUGGGAAAUUAACAGAUUUCUACUACUUGGUCUGUUACAAGCCAGAACGUACAGUGCUGUGAGAUUUAUUUCUGAAAACGGCAUGUUCA
rnacentral:lncRNA from 1 species